AAAUCCAGGAUGAUGCUGCACUUGAAGUGCUAUCCUAACCUCACCGAAAAGACUACAUUUAGCAAAAGUAUUCUCUGUGCAUUUCUUUUCCUAAGCAAUAAUGAUUCUGAACAAGCAGGAUAGAAAUUCUUCCAGUUAUAUUAAAGGAUCCACAUACUUUUUGGGGAAGAAAAGUGAGUUAGGUAACUUUAAACUUUGCAUAUUUGUUGGUGUAAGACAGGCUGGUCUGAGUAUUUCAGAAACUGUUGAUCUGCUAGGAUUUUCCCACACAACCAUCUCUGGGGAUUAAAAAGAGGAACAUAUGCAGUGAGCAGCAGUCCUUUGAGUAAAAAUGCCUUGUUGAUGUCAGAGGUCAGAGGAGAAUGGCGAGACUGCUUCAAGAUAAUAGGAAAGCAGAAAUAACUCAAAUAACCACUCAUAUCAACCAAGGUGUGUAGAAAGACAUCUCUGAAUAACACAUUGAAUCCUGUAGCAGAUGGUCUACAACAGCAGAAGACUACAUCAGGUCCCACUCCUGUCAACUAAGCAGCACAGGCUCACCAAAAUUGGAAAUUAGAAGACUGGAAAAACAAUAUGAGCAACAUUCAGAAGGGAAGCACGUUUUCUUUCUGGCUGCUUCUCUGUGGUCUGACCAGAAACUAACUCAUCCUUAUUCUAGAAAGUGAACCACAACAUGUGGCAACAGAGCCCACAAACAUGAGCUCAUUCCUCUUGAGGGGAAACUAGCAACUGAAAAAAACAGAGAUAGAAAGAGAGAAAGUCCCAGUGUUCCUCUCCACAUCCAUUUGUCUUUGGACUA